GGCACAGGAAGGACUGGGUGAAGGUCUCAAGCAGACAGCAGAUUCCUGAGGUAAGGCAGGGCUCUGAACCAUUGUAAUCGGUAGAAAGAAGGCACCAAGGGAAGAUGAAAAGCUUAGAAAAUCCAGAAGAAUAUUCUCAUGGAAUAGAUUGAAAAUGUUCCACGCUUAAGUGAGCCCACGCUGUCCUCUUAGGAGCCUCAGCCGGGUGUGCAGGAGGAUUCGGUGGAUUCGGGGGGGGGGGGGCAAAAUUCAAGAAUGGAUCGUUGGGUGAAUUCGUGAAAACUCAGCUUCUUUCCCAGAUCCCACCCUGAACAUGGACUUGCGAUUCUGUGAGAUGAUGUCACAACCUAAACAGAAAGAGAAGAGAGAGAGAGCUGAACAUGGACGUUCACAGUCUCUGCUGUCUGGCUGCAGAAACCCCGUGUAUCGCUACCUCGCGCUCCCGCUGCUCCCGUGAUACACUGCAUCCCGUCAUGCCAUGAACCUAUACAAUCCCUUCUUUCCCUAA
rnacentral:lncRNA from 1 species